GAUGAACGCUGGCGGCGUGCUUAACACAUGCAAGUCGAACGGAGAUGUUGUGUGAGCGGAGAGUGCUUGCACUUAACAAUCUUUCAACAUCUUAGUGGCGGACGGGUGAGUAACGCGUGGGUAACCUGCCUCAUACAGGGGGAUAACACUUAGAAAUAGGUGCUAAUACCGCAUAAGCGCACAGAGUCGCAUGACUCAGUGUGAAAAACUCCGGUGGUAUGAGAUGGACCCGCGUCUGAUUAGCUAGUUGGUAAGGUAACGGCUUACCAAGGCGACGAUCAGUAGCCGGCCUGAGAGGGUNAACGGGCCACAUUGGGACUGAGACAGGCCCAAAAUCCCUAACGGGAGGCAGCAGUGGGGAAUAUUGCACAAUGGGGGAAACCCUGAUGCAGCAAACGCCGACGUGAGCGAAGAG
rnacentral:rRNA from 1 species